ACGUAGGGUGCGAGCGUUAAUCGGAAUUACUGGGCGUAAAGCGUGCGCAGGCGGUUUUGUAAGUCAGAUGUGAAAUCCCCGAGCUCAACUUGGGAACUGCGUUUGAAACUACAAGACUAGAAUAUGUCAGAGGGGGGUAGAAUUCCACGUGUAGCAGUGAAAUGCGUAGAGAUGUGGAGGAAUACCAAUGGCGAAGGCAGCCCCCUGGGAUAAUAUUGACGCUCAUGCACGAAAGCGUGGGGAGCAAACAG
rnacentral:rRNA from 1 species